AUUUAUACAGCGCUUUUCCAUCUGCAUCAGACGCUCAAACGCUUUACAAUUAUGCCUCACAUUCACCCCGAUGUCAGGGUGCUGCCAUACAAGGCGCUCACUACACACCGGGAGCAAUAGGGGAUCAAUGCAUUUCAAAAUAAGUCACUGUGCACACGUCCUUUUUGUUGGCAUGGUCUUUAAGAACUAGGUCUGAGUGAAAUGCAGACAGGUUUGAAUCUUUCGGAUGGUCAAAGAACUCAAUGUUUCAGCCACAACAGAUAUAAGCGUAGACAUCAGUGGUCUGUUAAGGGUCUUCAUGUACUUUUGCUUUAAGAGGAUCACGCUUGAACUUCGUCCACACUGUCUCUAUAAUGGCCGGCGGUACUGCUCCAUUUCAUCCUUACAUUUUCAGAAAACUGACAAAUACAGAAAAAAUGUACACAGAGUGAGGACUCGGAUACAUUGCCUGUAUUCCGUGUUAAGGUCGAACAUGAGAAACGGGUGUUGUAUAACCCACGCAGAGUGCGUCUAAAAUGUCCCUUCAGUGCACAAUCGAACCAAUCAUUGCAGAAAAUUAGCUGUUGCGUUCAGGCACUCAAAGAUGGAUCGAGGGGUCUUUAGAUAACACUAUGAAUGAACCUUAAGAGAAACGAUUGCAAAUCUGGUGGUUUUCACCGUCUGCUUUAGCCACAUUUGCCACUGCUCUCGAGGCACAUCUGUGUGGAGUAAAAACCAGCUUUAAAGCUGAUCCUAGAUCAGAGAUGAACCGACAGCCAAGACCAGUGAAAUCACAUCCUACAACAAUGGAAUUGUCAAGAAUGUUAUUCGUGUUUGAGUGCUGAAGUGGUCUGGUUUUAGUCCCAUGUUGCCUUUGAUGGACUGCUAAUGCUGCUAUCCCCAUGUUUUUAAAAGCAAAUUAUUAACAUCACAUUAUGUGUACAAGUGAAAAGACGAUUUACUUUUGUAUAAUCUGUAUGUAAGAAAAAAUAAAACCAUACAGACUCUGAAUGAAAAUAUUACAAAUAUGUACAAAAAGUUCAAAACAACACAGACUGGUCAAAACAAUACGUUCCUAAACAGAACAUACAAAACAAUUUAAAUCAAUUUAAGCUGCCUGCUCAACAAAACACUAUGAAAACAGACUGACUACAGUCCAGACGAGCCUUUUUCCUCCCAGUCCUGCAGAUUUAAGUCCUCACAGGUACAGACUGGCAGCGAAGACGAUGUCUCUCUUAAUUUUUGUUAUUGCUGCAGAAAACAGAAUGACAAUCUGAUCAUAUCUGGAACUUUUGUGACAGA